GAAAACGUUAUUUACAGAAAAAUAAGUAAGUAUAUAAGGCAAAGAAAAUAAGUGAUUUAGGAAGAAUGUACUGUUGGACAGAUAGAUACGUGGUGUUAUCACAAACCAUAUAAAAGACACGAGUGAAUGCUGAGGAUCAAAGCGGCUUUUUCUAAUUAACAUUCUAAAUUGUAGGCGUGAGUAGACAAAUCUAAGGACGUGAAUUAUCAAUUGAUAAUACAAGGAUG